rnacentral:lncRNA from 1 species
UUUUAAAUAUUUUAUAUUAAUGGGUUUGUACACAAGAAGAGGAGGUAAAAACUAUAAAUUAUUAGAUUAAUACCAUUUUUUAUGAAUAAUUUGAACCACCUGGCCUCUUCAUAAAAAUCUUCCGGCGUCCUAUGCACAUGCCACAUACAAGUCGUAGAAAUUUGCCUUGUUUUGUCAUAUAACUACUAGAAUGAUAUAGUUAUGUACACA